UGGGGAAUAUUGGACAAUGGGGGAAACCCUGAUCCAGCCAUGCCGCGUGAGUGAUGAAGGCCCUAGGGUUGUAAAGCUCUUUUACCAGGGAUGAUAAUGACAGUACCUGGAGAAUAAGCUCCGGCUAACUCCGUGCCAGCAGCCGCGGUAAUACGGAGGGAGCUAGCGUUGUUCGGAAUCACUGGGCGUAAAGCGCGCGUAGGCGGCUACUUAAGUCAGAGGUGAAAGCCCGGGGCUCAACCCUGGAACUGCCUUUGAAACUAGGUAGCUAGAAUCCUGGAGAGGUGAGUGGAAUUCCGAGUGUAGAGGUGAAAUUCGUAGAUAUUCGGAAGAACACCAGUGGCGAAGGCGACUCACUGGACAGGUAUUGACGCUGAGGUGCGAAAGCGUGGGGAGCAAACAGGAUUAGAUACCCCCGUAGUCC
rnacentral:rRNA from 1 species